UUGAUAUGACCCCUUGACUAAAGCCCAACCAACUUGUCUGAGCCUCUUGUUUGCAUAUAGAGUGUGUUGCUUGAUUGCUUGUUUGCUUAUUUGUGAAUCUUUCAUGUGUUUGCUUUUCGUGCAUGUUUGUUUGUUUGAGGAGUUAGAUGUAAGACCAUUGAUUGGCUUUCUGUUUCCUAUUUGUUGUGUAGAGUUGGAUGUAAGCCCAUUG
rnacentral:lncRNA from 1 species